GUAGCAAUACUCGUGAGUGGCGAACGGGUGAGUAAUAUAUCGGAACGUGCCCAAUCGUGGGGGAUAACGUAGAGAAAUUUACGCUAAUACCGCAUACGAUCUAAGGAUGAAAGCGGGGGAUCGCAAGACCUCGCGCGAUUGGAGCGGCUGAUAUCAGAUUAGGUUGUUGGUGAGGUAAAAGCUCACCAAGCCGACGAUCUGUAGCUGGUUUGAGAGAACGACCAGCCACACUGGGACUGAGACACGGCCCAGACUCCUACGGGAGGCAGCAGUGGGGAAUUUUGGACAAUGGGGGCAACCCUGAUCCAGCCAUGCCGCGUGAGUGAAGAAGGCCUUCGGG
rnacentral:rRNA from 1 species